UGACUUUUGAACUUAGUGGCGGACGGGUGAGUAACGCGUGAGCAACCUGCCUUUCAGAGGGGGAUAACAUUUGGAAACAGAUGCUAAUACCGCAUAAGAUUACAGUACCGCAUGAUACAGUGAUCAAAGGAGCAAUCCGCUGAAAGAUGGGCUCGCGUCCGAUUAGAUAGUUGGUGAGAUAACGGCUCACCAAGUCGACGAUCGGUAGCCGGACUGAGAGGUUGAACGGCCACAUUGGGACUGAGACACGGCCCAGACUCCUACGGGAGGCAGCAGUGGGGAAUAUUGCACAAUGGGCGAAAGCCUGAUGCAGCAACGCCGCGUGAGGGAAGACGGUUUUCGGAUUGUAAACCUCUGUUUUCGGUGACGAACAAAUGACGGUAACCGAGUAGGAAGCCACGGCUAACUACGUGCCAGCAGCCGCGGUAAUACGUAGGUGGCAAGCGUUAUCCGGAAUUACUGGGUGUAAAGGGAGCGCAGGCGGGAUAGCAAGUCAGCUGUGAAAACUAUAGGCUCAACCCAUAAACUGCAGUUGAAACUGUUAUUCUUGAGUGGAGUAGAGGCAAGCGGAAUUCCGAGUGUAGCGGUGAAAUGCGUAGAUAUUCGGAGGAACACCAGUGGCGAAGGCG
rnacentral:rRNA from 1 species